ACACACACUAUGCUGUAAUAAUAUAUUAAUAAUGAAAGAAAAACAACCUUACCUUAGCUUGCUUCUUCUGUUGAAUGGUAGCUUAGCUUUAAUAUUUCAGCAGCCACAUGAUGAGUAUCCUUGAAGAUUGUUCGUUGAUGGCAUCAUGACAUGCGUGAAUAAUGCUUAAUUACACCGAGCAAGAAGAAAAAUAUAUGUUACACAUCAAAUUGCUGAUUAAUUAUGUUGUUAUCUAUAAAAUUAAUCCAUUAAAAAAGCACUAUAUUACUAUGGAUCUUUUAUUAUAUGUGUCAAA